AGGGAAAGCUUUCAGGAAAGCGGGGGACUUCACCUCUCAUAAUCCCUGGGUCGCGGGUUCGAGUCCCGCUCGCCCUA
rnacentral:tRNA from 1 species